GUGCUUGCUUUGGCAGCACAUGUACUAACAUUGGAAUGAUACAGAGAAGAUUAGGAUGGUCCCUGUGCAAAGACAACAUGCAAAGUUGUGAUGCAUUAAAAAAAAAA
ensembl:snRNA U6 U6 spliceosomal RNA